rnacentral:rRNA from 1 species
AUUGAACGCUGGCGGCAUGCCUUACACAUGCAAGUCGAACGGCAGCAUGGAGAGCUUGCUCUCUGAUGGCGAGUGGCGAACGGGUGAGUAAUGCAUCGGAACGUACCGUGUAAUGGGGGAUAACGUAGCGAAAGUUACGCUAAUACCGCAUACGACCUGAGGGUGAAAGCAGGGGAUCGCAAGACCUUGCGUUAUACGAGCGGCCGAUGUCGGAUUAGCUAGUUGGUGAGGUAAAGGCUCACCAAGGCGACGACCUGUAGCGGGUCUGAGAGGAUGAUCCGCCACACUGGGACUGAGACACGGCCCAGACUCCUACGGGAGGCAGCAGAGGGGAAUUUUGUACAAUGGGGGCAACCCUGAUCCAGCCAUGCCGCGUGAGUGAAGAAGGCCUUCGGGUUGUAAAGCUCUUUCAGCCGGGAAGAAAUCGCACAGGCUAAUACUCUGUGUGGAUGACGGUACCGGCAUAAGAAGCACCGGCUAACUACGUGCCAGCCGCCGCGGUAA